rnacentral:rRNA from 1 species
UACAGCGACUGCGAAUGGCUCAUUAUAUAAGUUAUCGUUUAUUUGAUAGUACCUUACUACUUGGAUAACCGUGGUAAUUCUAGAGCUAAUACAUGCUAAAAAUCCCGACUUCGGAAGGGAUGUAUUUAUUAGAUUAAAAACCAAUGCCCUCUGGGCUCCUUGGUGAUUCAUGAUAACUCUUCGAAUCGCACGGCCUUGCGCCGGCGAUGGUUCAUUCAAAUUUCUUCCCUAUCAACUUUCGAUGUUUGGGUAUUGGCCAAACAUGGUUGCAACGGGUAACGGAGGGUUAGGGCUCGACCCCGGAGAAGGAGCCUGAGAAACGGCUACUACAUCCAAGGAAGGCAGCAGGCGCGCAAAUUACCCAAUCCCGAUUCGGGGAGGUAGUGACAAUAAAUACUGAUACAGGGCUCUUUUGGGUCUUGUAAUUGGAAUGAGUACAAUUUAAAUCCCUUAACGAGGAACAAUUGGAGGGCAAGUCUGGUGCCAGCAGCCGCGGUAAUUCCAGCUCCAAUAGCGUAUAUUAAAGUUGUUGUGGUUAAAAAGCUCGUAGUUGAACCUUGGGCCUGGCUGGCCGGUCCGCCUCACCGCGUGCACUGGUCCGGCCGGGCCUUUCCCUCUGUGGAACCCCAUGCCCUUCACUGGGCGUGGCGGGGAAACAGGACGUUUACUUUGAAAAAAUUAGAGUGCUCCAGGCAGGCCUAUGCUCGAAUACAUUAGCAUGGAAUAAUGAAAUAGGACGCGUGGUUCUAUUUUGUUGGUUUCUAGGACCGCCGUAAUGAUUAAUAGGGACAGUCGGGGGCAUCAGUAUUCAAUUGUCAGAGGUGAAAUUCUUGGAUUUAUUGAAGACUAACUACUGCGAAAGCAUUUGCCAAGGAUGUUUUCAUUAAUCAGGAACGAAAGUUAGGGGAUCGAAGACGAUCAGAUACCGUCGUAGUCUUAACCAUAAACUAUGCCGACUAGGGAUCGGACGAUGUUAUUUUUUGACGCGUUCGGCACUUACGAGAAAUCAAAGUGCUUGGGCUCCAGGGGGAGUAUGGUCGCAGGCUGAAACUAAAGAAAUUGACGGAGGCACACAGGUAAA